UACGAAGGGGGCUAGCGUUGCUCGGAAUCACUGGGCGUAAAGCGCACGUAGGCGGACUCUUAAGUCGGUGGUGAAAUCCUGGAGCUCAACUCCAGAACUGCCUUCGAUACUGAGAGUCUCGAGUCCGGGAGAGGUGAGUGGAACUGCGAGUGUAGAGGUGAAAUUCGUAGAUAUUCGCAAGAACACCAGUGGCGAAGGCGGACUCACUGGCCCGGUACUGACGCUGAGGCACGGAAAGCGUGG
rnacentral:rRNA from 1 species